rnacentral:rRNA from 1 species
UACGUAGGUGGCGAGCGUUAUUCGGAUUUACUGGGCGUAAAGGGUCCGUAGGGGGACAAUUAAGUCUGAUGUGAAAUUUCGGGGCUCAACCCCGAACCUGCAUUGGAAACUGGUUGUCUAGAGUUAGGUAGAGGUAAGUGGAAUUUGUGGUGUAGCGGUGGAAUGCGUAGAUAUCACAAGGAAGACCAAAGGCGAAAGCAGCUUACUGGGCCUACACUGACCCUGAUGGACGAAAGCUAAGGUAGCGAAAAGG